CGCGUCGCCCGAGAGAAGGAGAGAGAGAAACAGCUAAAAGCACAGGCCAGGAGAGAGCAGGAGAAACUACGUAGCCGUGACUACGAGGACUCUGUGGAGCAGCAGGGGAGGGGGCGUGUCCAGGAGGACACUCGCCGUCGCCAGGAGCAACUUUCGCCUCAACCCCUCCCGCCGACUCCCCACAGGCCCCUCCCACUCAACAGGCCACACCCUCGGCCGCAGCAGAACGCCAUGGACCAGCAGAGGGAGCUGGCGAGACGCCGCGAGCAGGAAAGGAGGAGGAGAGAGGUGGUAAUACUUUAUAGCAGUAAUACUACUAUAAUACUAACAUGUUAUACUAGUAUAGCAGGAGAGAGGUGGUAAUACUUUAUAGCAGUAAUACUACUAUAAUACUAACAUGUUAUACUAGUAUAGUAGGAGAGAGGUGGUAAUACUUUAUAGCAGUAAUACUACUAUAAUACUAACAUGUUAUACUAGUAUAGUAGGAGAGAGGCGGUAAUACUACUAUAAUACUAACAUGUUAUACUAGUAUAGCAGGAGCGAGGCGGUAAUACUUUAUAGCAGUAAUACUACUAUAAUACUAACAUAAAAUACUAGUUUAGCAGGAGAGAGGUGGUAAUACUUUAUAGCAGUUAUACUACUAUAAUACUAACAUAAUAUACUUUUCUAGCAGAAGAGAGGUGGUAAUACUUUAUAGCAGUUAUACUACUAUAAUACUAACAUGUUAUACUAGUAUAGCAGGAGAGAUGAGGAGAGAAUCAUCAUAAAGAUACGUAUUAAUAUAUGUAUAUUCUUGUUAUAUUAUGUAUAUUCAGUUAUAUUACAAUAAUACAGAGGAGAGGUAGUUUAGCUGAGAAGAGAUGGGAAAGAUUAACACUGCAUCUAAUUCCUCUCUCUCUCUCGCUCUGUCUCUCAUCCCCCUCUCUCUACAG
rnacentral:lncRNA from 1 species